rnacentral:lncRNA from 1 species
GUUUGGCAGGCUGGGUGAUGCUGUGUACUCCUGGCUCAGGCAUGCUCAAGAGCAUUCUUUGGCUGUUGGAGCUCAGUGGGUUGGGCUGUGCUGCCCACAGGCUGAUGUGCUGCUGAUGGCAAAUUAUACUCAGCUGGGUUGAGUGCUGCCAAAUUGCAACUCUUCCUAGGGCAAGCUGACUGCUGCUGGAGCAAACAGCUUCAUGGGAAUUGCUGUCAUUUUGCAGCAAGGAGGGCUGUGUGUAUGUGUCACCUGCUGGCAAAGAAGAGGAAGGGUGGCUGGAAAGUAAAGGUCUGUCUCUCCCUGUAAGGUGCAGUAUUCCCAGUGCACACAGGUGGAAAACCACAUCAUCUCAGAGGGACAGUCCACACCAGUGUUGAGACUGCUGAAGAAGAAGUUCCAGCUGCAACCAGGCCAUAGAGAUGUGCUCCAGCCCAGACAGGAUCACUUUAUGGCUCUCCAUUUCUGUUUCUCAAAGCUGCUGUCCAAUCUGAGGAACCACUGUGGUAAUAAAUUCCACAGAUAACUGGCCUGGGCCCAACUGAACUUUUUGGGAAGAUCGAAACAAAACAGAAUGAAGUGGCAGAAACCCACAGGAUCUUCUGUUUACUAUAUUUUUGGUGAAGGAAUUAUGUGUAUUAAAGUGUUCCUCACUUUGGGUUGUGUAUCUAGUGCUGUGUUUUGCUUGUAGUUCAUGCAUGGUCCAGUUUUAAUCCUCCUUGUCCUGGAGCCUGUCAUGCAUAAUAGUUGGGUCCAUCUCCAGG